UACGUAGGGGGCAAGCGUUGUCCGGAAUCAUUGGGCGUAAAGAGCGUGUAGGCGGCCAGAAAAGUCCGCUGUGAAAACUCGAGGCUCAACUUCGAGCUGUCGGUGGAAACUUUCUGGCUAGAGUCCGGAAGAGGAGAAUGGAAUUCCUGGUGUAGCGGUGAAAUGCGCAGAUAUCAGGAAGAACACCCCGUGGCGAAGGCGGUUCUCUGGGACGGUACUGACGCUGAGACUCGAAAGCGUGGGGGAGCAAACAGG
rnacentral:rRNA from 1 species